rnacentral:rRNA from 1 species
UACGGGGGGGGCAAGCGUUGUUCGGAAUUACUGGGCGUAAAGGGCUCGUAGGCGGCCAACUAAGUCAGACGUGAAAUCCCCAGGCUUAACCUGGGAACUGCGUCUGAUACUGGAUGGCUUGAAUUCGGGAGAGGGAUGCAGAAUUCCAGGUGUAGCGGUGAAAUGCGUAGAUAUCUGGAGGAAUACCGGUGGCGAAGGCGGCAUCCUGGACCGAGAUUGACGCUGAUGAGCGAAAGCUAGGGGGGCAAACGGG